GUGGUGGGACCAUCCACCAACUCAGGCUGUUUUAUGUUGUCCUUUCCCUGGGCACAGGGCAGAGAGCUGUGGAGUAACUGACUGAACUGGUUCUAGGUGAGGACAGUGCCUGGGAAUAGAAGGAGAAGCCAGGCCAGGCUUUGUAGAUGUAACCAAAUUAAGGAUCUUGAGAUGAAGCAAUCAUCCCAGAUUAUCUGGUUGAGCCCAACAUCAAAUGACCAGCAUCCUUUAUGAGAGAAACAGGAAAGUUUAGACAGACAGAAGAGGAGACUCGCCCAAAGAAGAAGAUGCAGACAGAGGAAGAUCAGAGAGACAUGGCCACAAGCCAAGGAAGACAGAGAAUGCUGACAGCCACUAGAAGCUGGAAGACAUAGGCAGAUUCUCUUCUAAAGCCUCCAGAAGGCCCUGAUGAUACCUUGGCAUUAAGAUAUUUUUAUCUUCCAGAAGUACAGAUUGCAUCAAGGAGAGCAUUCCUGCAGGAUAUUAAUGUGUCUUGAAUACAUCUCUGUAACAUUUGCCCG